rnacentral:rRNA from 1 species
ACUCAAAGGAAUAGACGGGGGACCGCACAAGCAGCGGAGCGUGUGGUUUAAUUCGAGGCUACACGAAGAACCUUACCUGGGUUUGACAUCGUGUUGAAGGCUGUAUGAAAGUAUGGCUGCUCCGCAAGGAGCAAUACGACAGGUGCUGCAUGGCUGUCGUCAGCUCGUGCCGUGAGGUGUUCGGUUAAGUCCGCAAACGAGCGCAACCCUCGGUGCCAGUUACAAGUGUCUGGCGCGACUGCCCGUGGCAAACGGGAGGAAGGUGGGGAUGACGUCAAGUCAGCAUGGCCUUUAUAUCCAGGGCUACACACACGCUACAAUGGCGUAUACAAUGGGUCGCGAAGCCGCGAGGCGGAGCCAAUCCUACAAAGUACGUCUCAGUUCAGAUUGCAGGCUGCAACCCGCCUGCAUGAAGUUGGAGUUGCUAGUAACCGCGCGUCAGCAGAGUGCGGUGAAUACGUUCCCGGUCCUUGCACACACCGCCCGU